GUGAAGUCAAUGGUAAUGAAUUGCUAUCAGCAUUUUAAAAAUGAAACAGAUGUGCAGUGGCUGCAAAGAGCAGCCUCCUUGGUAGUGCACACAGCCUGUUGCUUGUAUAGAUUGCCCUAAGGGACCUUGGAGACAGUC